rnacentral:rRNA from 1 species
UACGUGAACGGCGAGUGUUAUUCGGUUUUGUUAGGUGUAAAGUGAACGUAGACUGCUUUAUAAGUUAACGCGUAAAACAGCCAAGUCAAUUGGUUUAGCGUCGUUAAUACUGUAUAGCUAGAAUGAGGAAGGGGUUAACAGAACAACCAAGGUAGUGGUGAAAUACGUUGAUCUUGGUUAGAAUGCCAAAGGUGAAGACAGUUAACCAUUUUUCAUUGACGUUGAUGUUCGAAAGCUAAAGUAUCGAAACGG